UGCUUUUGUCUAUAGCCUUUAUCUGCAUAUGCUACUAUUAUUGUUGCUCCAUUGACAACUUGUCCACCUAAGAUCCUAGUGACAAUAAUUCAACCACAUCAAUUCAAGCUAUAACCUCUCUCUACUACUCAAAGAUAUUAUCUUGAUUGGCAUCACAUCUCCCAAUGCACUUUAGCACACAUGCCGCAUCUAUUGCACUUCUUUUUUGUAAUGUUAUACAAAUGCUUUUGCAAUUGUAUUUUGCUCCUACUCCUUACUCAUCUCUAUUUUUAUUGCUACCAAUACUAUGCCUCUCUUUAGAUUUGCAAUUACU
rnacentral:lncRNA from 1 species